GUGGAUAUUGAGGGGCUUUGGGAUGCUCUGGCGAUGGAGAUGAUUGGUCGUGGAUUGGUAAAAAUAUGCCCUACACAUCGUAUUGGACAAGCCCUUUGAUUUCACAGCUCCUGACAUUCCAGUCAUUAGACGCUGGUGG